AACGGUCUGGAAAGUCCGGCGAUAGAGGGUGAUAGCCCCGUACACGAAAACUGCGUUGUGGUACUGAGCUUGCGACAAGUAGGUCGGGACACGUGUUAUCUUGACUGAAGAUGGGGGGACCAUCCUCCAAGGCUAAAUACUAGUAAUCGACCGAUAGUGAACCAGUACCGUGAGGGAAAGGCGAAAAGAACCCCGGGAGGGGAGUGAAAUAGAUCCUGAAACCGCAUGCAUACAAAAAGUCGGAGCCGCAAGGUGACGGCGUACCUUUUGUAUAAUGGGUCAGCGACUUACGUUCAGUGGCGAGCUUAACCGAAUAGGGAAGGCGCAGGGAAACCGAGUCCGAAUAGGGCGAAAUUCAGUCGCUGGGCGUAGACCCGAAACCAGGUGAUCUACCCAUGGCCAGGAUGAAGGUGAGGUAACACU
rnacentral:rRNA from 14 species